GAUCAAUAUCCUCGCCAGCCUAAUUAGGGGGGUCCUAGAGCAUCCCUGAAGAAAAGGGAGCCCUAGCCUUCCCACAGCCAACCCGACGACACCCCCGACCCACUGCUCCAACCCCAACCGCCUCCUGCCCAUGGCAUGUAACUUCCUGAAUACUCCAUCUUCAUGUGCUUCAAGAAAGUGGAUUUCUGGACAGGCAGCAUCUUCAAAGGUCAUAAAUCCCUCUGUUGUCAGCUUUCCUGUUCACACACCUGCGUGGGAACAAGACACACCUAAAUGGUGACUACUCAUUGACAACAAUACUUUCAGUAUCCUGGGUCUGCUUCCUUUCCAUUUAGGAAAGGCUCUCUAAAAUCC
rnacentral:lncRNA from 1 species